rnacentral:rRNA from 1 species
UGGGGAAUAUUGGACAAUGGGCGAAAGCCUGAUCCAGCCAUGCCGCGUGUGUGAAGAAGGUCUUCGGAUUGUAAAGCACUUUAAGUUGGGAGGAAGGGCAUUAACCUAAUACGUUAGUGUUUUGACGUUACCGACAGAAUAAGCACCGGCUAACUUUGUGCCAGCAGCCGCGGUAAUACAGAGGGUGCAAGCGUUAAUCGGAAUUACUGGGCGUAAAGCGCGCGUAGGUGGUUUGUUAAGUUGGAUGUGAAAUCCCCGGGCUCAACCUGGGAACUGCAUUCAAAACUGACUGACUAGAGUAUGGUAGAGGGUGGUGGAAUUUCCUGUGUAGCGGUGAAAUGCGUAGAUAUAGGAAGGAACACCAGUGGCGAAGGCGACCACCUGGACUAAUACUGACACUGAGGUGCGAAAGCGUGGGGAGCAAACA